rnacentral:rRNA from 1 species
UACGUAGGGGGCAAGCGUUGUCCGGAUUUAUUGGGCGUAAAGAGCGUGUAGGCGGCUUUACAGGUCCGUUGUGAAAACUCGAGGCUCAACCUCGAGACUCCGGUGGAAACCGUAAAGCUAGAGUCCGGAAGAGGAGAGUGGAAUUCCUGGUGUAGCGGUGAAAUGCGCAGAUAUCAGGAAGAACACCCGUGGCGAAGGCGGCUCUCUGGGACGGUACUGACGCUGAGAAGCGAAAGCGUGGGGAGCAAACAGG